rnacentral:rRNA from 1 species
GAUGAACGCUAGCGGCAGGCCUAACACAUGCAAGUCGAGGGGCAGCACAGAAACAGCAAUGUUUUGGUGGAGACCGGCGGACGGGUGCGUAACGCGUAUGCAACCUACCUUUAACAGGGGGAUAACGGAGAGAAAUUUCCACUAAUACCCCAUAACAUCGAUCAAGGCAUCUUGAUUGGUUGAAAACUCCGGUGGUUAAAGAUGGGCAUGCGUUGUAUUAGGUAGUUGGUGAGGUAAUGGCUCACCAAGCCUACGAUACAUAGGGGGACGGAGAGGUUAGACCCCCACACUGGUACUGAGACACGGACCAGACUCCUGCGGGAGGCAGCAGUGAGGAAUAUUGGUCAAUGGGGGCAACCCUGAACCAGCCAUGCCGCGUGCAGGAAGACGGCUCUAUGAGUUGUAAACUGCUUUUAAACAGGGAUAAAGCACAGUAUGUAUACUGUGUUGAAGGUACUGUAAGAAUAAGGAUCGGCUAACUCCGUGCCAGCCGCCGCGGUAA